rnacentral:misc_RNA from 1 species
AGUUCCUGCCUAAAAGGAUGUAAUAAUUGUUAGUUCCCUUUGCCAUUUAAGAACUGCUGCAUGAUUCUAAAGUUUUUAGCAUAAGAUAUUAAUUGAAAUCUGUAUCAAUCAUUGGAACAGUCAACAAAGAUAAACUCUAUUACAAUGAUUGGAUGUAUCAACAAAGCUAAAUGGUCAGACUGAACAUAUGAAUCAAAGAAUGAUAUCUAAGCAAACAACAUAACAACACAAGAUUUAUUGACUACGCGCAUCACUGUUUGUUGUCCCAAACAAUGUGUCUAGGGGGGUGAAUUGGACAAU